rnacentral:rRNA from 1 species
GUCAAUGACUAAUUACUCGGAUUGCUCACAGUCCCAUCAGAUCCUGAAAGCUAAGCAGGAUUAAGCCUGGGUAGUGCUUGGAUGGGCAACCACCGUGCUUAACAGGUGUUAUAGGCU